AUUAAAACACCAGUUCCCAUACGGUCACCAAAGUUAAGCAACCCCAAGCCUCAUCAAUACUAGAUGAGUGACCGCUUGGGAAUACCUGGUGCUGUAAG